UGUAUGGCCUUCUAAGCCUUGUA
rnacentral:siRNA from 1 species